GUGAUUAAAUCGAGCGUGUCUUCAUUGACCGCUCACCCUUCUCACCAUCCACAUACACCUGUGCACUGUUUAGCCUGAGCCGGUUUUCCGGUCCAGGUUAUCAUUCCAUACAAACUCUAGUCUUAUGAAUGUAAACGUUUUAAUAACACAAUA
rnacentral:misc_RNA from 1 species